GACGAACGCUGGCGGCGUGCUUAACACAUGCAAGUCGAACGGAAAGGCCCUGCUUUUGUGGGGUGCUCGAGUGGCGAACGGGUGAGUAACACGUGAGUAACCUGCCCUUGACUUUGGGAUAACUUCAGGAAACUGGGGCUAAUACCGGAUAGGAGCUCCUGCUGCAUGGUGGGGGUUGGAAAGUUUCGGCGGUUGGGGAUGGACUCGCGGCUUAUCAGCUUGUUGGUGGGGUAGUGGCUUACCAAGGCUUUGACGGGUAGCCGGCCUGAGAGGGUGACCGGCCACAUUGGGACUGAGAUACGGCCCAGACUCCUACGGGAGGCAGCAGUGGAGAAUAUUGCACAAUGGGCGGAAGCCUGAUGCAGCAACGCCGCGUGCGGGAUGACGGCCUUCGGGUUGUAAACCGCUUUCGCCUGUGACGAAGCGUGAGUGACGGUAAGGGGUAAAGAAGCACCGGCUAACUACG
rnacentral:rRNA from 1 species